AGGUAAAUCGGGUAUUGUUGCCGAGCGUCUUUCAGCCUCCCUUGCCUCAACCGGCACACCAUCGCAUUAUGUUCAUGCAGCCGAGUGGACACAUGGAGACCUGGGUCGAGCUCGUAAUGGAGAUGUUGCCGUGUUUCUGUCGCACAGUGGGAAUACAAAGGAAUGUGUUGCUGCCGCCCAAUUGUUGAAGGAUCGUGGAAUUACAGUGUUAUCCAUUGUUGGAAAAUAUG